rnacentral:rRNA from 1 species
ACACAAAACAAGCGGUGAGUGCUUUGGGGUGGGGUGACUGCGUACCUUUUGUAUAAUGGGUCAGCGACUUAUAUUCUGUAGCAAGGUUAACCGAAUAGGGGAGCCGGAGGGAAACCGAGUCUUAAUUGGGCGUUAAGUUGCAGGGUAUAGACCCGAAACCCGGUGAUCUAGCCAUGGGCAGGUUGAAGGUUGGGUAACACUAACUGGAGGACCGAACCGACUAAUGUUGAAAAAUUAGCGGAUGACCUGUGGCUGGGGGUGAAAGGCCAAUCAAACCGGGAGAUAGCUGGUUCUCCCCGAAAGCUAUUUAGGUAGCGCCUCGUGAAUUCAUCUCCGGGGGUAGAGCACUGUUUCGGCUAGGGGGCCAUCCCGGCUUACCAACCCGAUGCAAACUGCGAAUACCGGAGAAUGUUAUCACGGGAGACACACGGCGGGUGCUAACGUCCGUCGUGAAGAGGGAAACAACCCAGACCGCCAGCUAAGGUCCCAAAGUCAUGGUUAAGUGGGAAACGAUGUGGGAAGGCCCAGACAGCCAGGAUGUUGGCUUAGAAGCAGCCAUCAUUUAAAGAAAGCGUAAUAGCUCACUGGUCGAGUCGGCCUGCGCGGAAGAUGUAACGGGGCUAAACCAU